GACUGGGGGGAGACAGGACAGACAGGGUAGACAGGACAGACAGGGGAGACAGGACAGACAGGGGAGACAGGGCAGGCUGGCAGACAGGGGAGACAAGGCAGACAGGGGAGACAGGGCAGACAGGGGAGACAGGGCAGGCUGGCAGACAGGACAGACAGGGGAGACAGGGCAGGCUGGCAGACAGGGUAGACAGGACAGACAGGACAGACAGGGGAGACAGGACAGACAGGGCAGACAGGGGAGACAGGACAGACAGGACAGACAGGGGAGACAGGGGAGACAGGACAGACAGGGGAGACAGGACAGACAGGGCAGACAGGGUAGACAGGGGAGACAGGACAGACAGGGGAGACAGGGGAGACAGGACAGACAGGGGAGACAG
ensembl:lncRNA